rnacentral:lncRNA from 1 species
UUCCUGCAGUAAAAUGCAAGACGUGUGAAGGAGAAACUCCUCUUCUCCUUCCUUCUGAUGAGAGUGCUGCCCUGUGAGAACGUGAUAUGGGGUAGAUGGCAGACAUCUUGGAAGAAGGAAAGAAAGGCCAACGGAAGCACAGGGAUUGCAAACCACUGCCCUGAUACCAAAAAGCCUCUGAAUCAACCCUGGAACUGGGAGGUGGAGAGUUAUUUAUUUUUGUAAAUAACUCUUAGCUUUUCCAUAACUCUUAGCUUGUCUAUAACUCACAGAUAAUAGCAUCUUAACUGAUAAUACUGAUAUGAUCUCAAGAGUAUGUUCUAUAAACAAAAGUGUUGCGUAGUCAGCUGAGUUAGAAAAACGUUGUAUAUUAUAUCCAACUCUUUGUAUUUCAUUUUUGCAAAUUAAAGGCUAUGAGAAGACCUGCAGUUAAAAAAUAAAAACUGUUUAGCUUUUUUUAACAUGGUAUUUCCUAAAAUUAAUCAUAUGAUCAUUUUAAAGACUCCUUAAUAUCUUCAAGAUAUUAAGCACUUCACAGUGUCUGUUUUGGAAAAAUUAAUUUAGGCUUCGUGAGAAAAAGAAAGGAGAUCCUAACACCAAGUAUUGGAUACGCCAAUUCCUACACAGCCUCGAUGGGGCACAAAACAGAAAGCGCAGCUUUAUCUUUCUAAAUCAUCUGCUAUUUCCAGGAGGCCAAGGAAAAGGAAUAAAUUUGACAACUAUCCACUUAUAUCCCUGAAUUCUGACAACAGAAUGCACUAAUGAAGGACCCUCGACAUGAUAACACGGCCACAGUCCAGUCAUCCUGGAUAGCAAAUCUGGAAAUGCAUUUUGACUGCUGCACUUAGGACACAUUUUUAUUGUGGCUUGCAGACAGUUACCCUUCAACGAUGUGGUAACUAAACAGAUUUCUAAUUUUCUUCCACUCUCUUUCUAAGAAAGCAAAAUGAGAUUGAGGAAAAUGCAUUUCAUUGAGAUGGACAGGAUGAACCAGUAAUUCAGACUACAGGAAAAAAGCAGUAAGACAGUUCAGAAAAGCUUAAAAAUCUUGAAGUCUGUUCCAUGAAGGAAAGGGUCACAACGAAUGUCGGCACAGUACUUCACAAACCUGAUGCCAACAGCAACUGUGAAAUGGAAGCAACUCUACAAAUUAUUGCCAUCAUGAGACUAUCAUUAGGUCUACAUAGCUCAAGCUUCACUUGGAGUUCAAUUGUGUGAUUCAGAAGCACAGCUAGGAUAAGUCAGAGACUGGAAAGGGGAAGAGGAGAGACGUGCAGGAUAUUUUUUUUUAACCAGUGAAACAACUCCCGACUUCCAGGACCAGACAAUAUACUUAAUGCACAAAACCAAUAUAUUUUAUGGCCUAAAUGAAAAAAAGUAAAGUGGAAGGUCGGGCGCUGUUCCUUUAAGAUGCUUCCAGAAUCAAAUACCACUCUUGAAAGGGCUGCCAAACAAUGUAUCCAGGUAAAGAAUGAAAAAAAUAUAUUCAGAGGAAAGGCAGGAGGAUGUGUGGAAAGCUCAGUGAGAUUAUGGAAGUGCAGUAAUUGAAUAUGACACAAGAGUCAAGUGCAAGAGGGAACUGGCUGGAGUGCAGUGGCGCAAUCUCAGCUCACUGAAACCUCCACCUCCCAGGUUCAAGUGAUUCUCCUGCCUCAGCCUCCCGAGUACCUGGGAUUCCAG